rnacentral:tRNA from 1 species
GAGGGUGUAGCUCAGUGGUAGAGCACGUGCUUAGCAUGCACGAGGUCCUGGGUUCAAUCCCCAGCACCUCCG